rnacentral:tRNA from 1 species
AGGGGUAUAGCUCAGUGGUAGAGGGUAUGCUUAGCAUGCACGAGGUCUUGGAUUCAAUCCCCAGUACCUCCA